UGUACGGAAUGGAUAAGCGCUGAAAGCAUCUAAGCGCGAAGCCAACUUCAAGAUAAGAUUUCCCACCGCAAGGGUAAGACCCCAGAAAGACUAACUGGUUGAUAGGUCGAAGGUGUAAGUGCAGCAAUGUAUUUAGCUUAUCGAUACUAAUAGGUCGAGGACUUGACCAAU
rnacentral:rRNA from 1 species